UACGUAGGUGGCGAGCGUUGUCCGGAUUUAUUGGGUUUAAAGGGUGCGUAGGCGGCUUUGUAAGUCAGUGGUGAAAUACUCUAGCUCAACUAGAGAGGUGCCAUUGAUACUGCGGAGCUUGAGUACGGAUGAGGUAGGCGGAAUUGACGGUGUAGCGGUGAAAUGCAUAGAUAUCGUCAAGAACACCGAUAGCGAAGGCAGCUUACUGGGCUGUAACUGACGCUGAGGCACGAAAGUGUGGGGAUCAAACAGG
rnacentral:rRNA from 1 species